rnacentral:rRNA from 1 species
GUGGGGAAUAUUGCGCAAUGGGCGAAAGCCUGACGCAGCCAUGCCGCGUGUGUGAAGAAGGCCUUCGGGUUGUAAAGCACUUUCAGAGGGGAGGAAAGGGCGCUGGCUAAUACCCGGCGCAGUUGACGCUACCCUCAGAAGAAGCACCGGCUAAUUCCGUGCCAGCAGCCGCGGUAAUACGGAAGGUGCAAGCGUUAAUCGGAAUUACUGGGCGUAAAGCGCGCGUAGGCGGCUUGGUAAGUCGGGUGUGAAAGCCCCGGGCUCAACCUGGGAACUGCAUUCGAUACUGCCGGGCUAGAGUACGAGAGAGGGGGGUGGAAUUCCAGGUGUAGCGGUGAAAUGCGUAGAGAUCUGGAGGAACACCAGUGGCGAAGGCGGCCCCCUGGUUCGAUACUGACGCUGAGGUGCGAAAGCGUGGGGAGCAAACAGGAUUAGAUACCCCGGUAGUCC